GUGAGAACAAGGAAGAGUCAGUGCCUAGAGGAGCUGCUACAAGAAACAUCAAGGAGCAGAUACGAGUUCAGAAAAUGAAGGGAGCUCCUCUAAGUCCACAUCUUUAGCCACCUGAAUGGCUUCUUUCAAUGCCUUCAGUCCCAUGAGAAUAUUCCAAGUGCUGCUUCUCCUGAAAAAUCUUCGGCCAUGUGAGUUUUUCACAUGUGUAACACCACCCAAAAAGCAACCAGCUCCUUAUAGCAUUCCACUGAUGCUUUGAUGUGCAUCUUCU